GAUGAAGAACGCAGCGAAAUGCGAUAAGUAAUGUGAAUUGCAGAAUUCAGUGAAUCAUCGAAUCUUUGAACGCACAUUGCGCCCGCCAGCAUUCUGGCGGGCAUGCCUGUUCGAGCGUCAUUUCAACCCUCAAGACCCCUUCGGGGGACUUGGUGUUGGGGACCGGCACAGGGGCCUGCCUGCUUGUCUUGCAGCGCCCUCGCCGCCCCCGAAAUGAAUUGGCGGCCUCGUCGCGGCCUCCCCUGCGUAGUAGCACAAACCUCGCAACGGGAACGUGACGGCGGCCACUGCCGUAAAACAACCCAAUUUUAUUAGAGUUGACCUCGAAUCAGGUAGGAAUACCCGCUGAACUUAAGUAUAUCAAUAAGCGGAGGA
rnacentral:misc_RNA from 1 species